GUCCACACUGUAAACGAUGAUCACUCGAUGUUGGCGAUACACAGCCAGCGUCUUAGCAAAAGCGAUAAGUGAUCCACCUGGGGAGUACGCCGGCAACGGUGAAACUCAAAGGAAUUGACGGUGGUCCGCACAAGCGGUGGAGCAUGUGGUUUAAUUCGAUGAUACGCGAGGAACCUUACCUGGGCUAGAAUGCCCUUGACGGGUCCAGAGACGGAUCGUUCCGCAAGGACAAGGAGCAAGGUGCUGCAUGGCUGUCGU
rnacentral:rRNA from 1 species